GGUGAGCUUCGCUCCCUGAGAUCAGCGGCGGACGGGUGAGUAACACGUGGGUAACCUGCCUGUAAGACUGGGAUAACUCCGGGAAACCGGGGCUAAUACCGGAUAACUCAGUUCCUCGCAUGAGGAACGGUUGAAAGGUGGCUUUUCGCUACCACUUACAGAUGGACCCGCGGCGCAUUAGCUAGUUGGUGAGGUAACGGCUCACCAAGGCGACGAUGCGUAGCCGACCUGAGAGGGUGAUCGGCCACACUGGGACUGAGACACGGCCCAGACUCCUACGGGAGGCAGCAGUAGGGAAUCUUCCGCAAUGGACGAAAGUCUGACGGAGCAACGCCGCGUGAGUGAAGAAGGUUUUCGGAUCGUAAAACUCUGUUGUUAGGGAAGAACAAGUGCCGUUCGAAUAGGGCGGCACCUUGACGGUACCUAACCAGAAAGCCACGGCUAACUACGUGCCAGCAGCCGCGGUAAUACGUAGGUGGCAAGCGUUGUCCGGAAUUAUUGGGCGUAAAGCGCGCGCAGGUGGUUUCUUAAGUCUGAUGUGAAAGCCCACGGCUCACCGUGGAGGGUCAUUGGAAACUGGGGAACUUGAGUGCAGAAGAGGAAAGUGGAAUUCCAAGUGUAGCGGUGAAAUGCGUAGAUAUUUGGAGGAAC
rnacentral:rRNA from 2 species